UACAGAGGGUGCAAGCGUUGUUCGGCAUUAUUGGGCGUAAAGAGCUCGUAGGUGGUUUGUCGCGUUGUUCGUGAAAACUCACAGCUUAACUGUGGGCGUGCGGGCGAUACGGGCAGACUGGAGUACUGCAGGGGAGACUGGAAUUCCUGGUGUAGCGGUGGAAUGCGCAGAUAUCAGGAGGAACACCGGUGGCGAAGGCGGGUCUCUGGGCAGUAACUGACGCUGAGGAGCGAAAGCGUGGGGAGCGAACAGG
rnacentral:rRNA from 1 species